GACGAACGCUGUUGGCGUGCCUAACACAUGCAAGUCGAGCGAAGUGAGUACUACGGUACGAACUUAGCGGCGGACGGGUGAGUAACGCGUGGACAAUCUACCCUGUAGACUGGGAUAACACCUCGAAAGGGGUGCUAAUACCGGAUAAUGUCGAGAAGCGGCAUCGCUUUUCGAAGAAAGGAGAGAAUCCGCUAUAGGAGGAGUCCGCGUCCCAUUAGCUAGUUGGUGAGGGUAACGGCCCACCAAGGCGACGAUGGGUAGCCGGCCUGAGAGGGUGAAAGGCCACACGGGAACUGAGACACGGUCCAGACUCCUACGGGGGGCAGCAGUGGGGAAUAUUGUGCAAUGGGGGAAACCCUGACACAGCAACGCCGCGUGAGCGAAGAAGGCCUUCGGGUUGUAAAGCUCAAUAGUAUGGGAAGAUAAUGACGGUACCAUACGAAAGCCCCGGCUAACUACGUGCCAGCCGCCGCAGUAAAAC
rnacentral:rRNA from 1 species